rnacentral:rRNA from 1 species
CCUACGGGAGGCAGCAGUGGGGAAUAUUGCGCAAUGGGCGAAAGCCUGACGCAGCGACGCCGCGUGAGGGAUGAAGGUCUUCGGAUCGUAAACCUCUGUCAGCAGGGAAGAACGGUCACUGUGCUAAUCAGCAGUGAAUUGACGGUACCUGCAAAGGAAGCACCGGCUAACUCCGUGCCAGCAGCCGCGGUAAUACGGAGGGUGCAAGCGUUAUCCGGAUUUCUUUGGUUUAAAGGGUGCGUAGGCUGUGAGGUAAGUCAGCGGUGAAAUGCCCCGGCUCAACGGGGUGAAGUGCAAUUGAUACUGGCUUGCUGGAGUGUGGAUGCGGUGGGAGGAAUGUGUGGUGUAGCGGUGAAAUGCAUAGAUAUCACACAGAACACCGAUUGCGAAGGCAUCUCACGAAUCCGCGAUUGACGCUGAGGCACGAAAGCGUGGGUAUCAAACAGGAUUAGAUACCCGGGUAGUC